rnacentral:sRNA from 1 species
GCCGGGCGUGGUGACGCAUGCCUGUAAUCCCAGCUACUGGGAGGCUGAGGCAGAAGAAUCGCUUGAACCCAGGAGGCAGAGGUUGCAGUGAGCUGAGAACGCGCCACUGUACUCCAGCCUGGCAACAGAGCGAGACUCCGUCUCAA